rnacentral:rRNA from 1 species
UUUGAUCAUGGCUCAGAUUGAACGCUGGCGGCAGGCCUAACACAUGCAAGUCGAACGGUAACAGGAAGCAGCUUGCUGCUUCGCUGACGAGUGGCGGACGGGUGAGUAAUGUCUGGGAAACUGCCUGAUGGAGGGGGAUAACUACUGGAAACGGUAGCUAAUACCGCAUAAUGUCGCAGGACCAAAGAGGGGGACCUUCGGGCCUCUUGCCAUCAGAUGUGCCCAGAUGGGAUUAGCUUGUUGGUGAGGUAACGGCUCACCAAGGCGACGAUCCCUAGCUGGUCUGAGAGGAUGACCAGCCACACUGGAACUGAGACACGGUCCAGACUCCUACGGGAGGCAGCAGUGGGGAAUAUUGCACAAUGGGCGCAAGCCUGAUGCAGCCAUGCCGCGUGUAUGAAGAAGGCCUUCGGGUUGUAAAGUACUUUCAGCGGGGAGGAAGGGGAUAAGGCUAAUAACCUUGUUCAUUGACGUUACCCGCAGAAGAAGCACCGGCUAACUCCGUGCCAGCAGCCGCGGUAAUACGGAGGGUGCAAGCGUUAAUCGGAAUUACUGGGCGUAAAGCGCACGCAGGCGGUCUGUCAAGUCGGAUGUGAAAUCCCCGGGCUCAACCUGGGAAC